UUGUCACCAUAAGAAGGGCUUUAUGCAUUUCGACAGUUGUUAGAUUUGUCUUUUUAGCGUUUCUUUAUUCUUCCAUAUUUUGUUUCAUCUUUCUUGUGCUUUUUGUUUGGUUUUGGACUUUUACCGGUACGAUGUUGUUGAACGAUGAAGAUGGUAAUGUGGUUUAAAGGUUGUUGUUGGUUUGAGUGAAGGGCUUUCCGUGUUUGGGUUAUGAAGGAAGGGGGAAG
rnacentral:lncRNA from 1 species